GAGGGAGUGUGGUUAGGGGAAAAGUUUGUAGUGUAUGGAGAGAGAUGAGAGAUCUCUUUUCUGAUUGUAGAAAUCUUCUCAGUGUAGUGAGUUGCAAAGUUUGUGGGGGUCAAGUUGGUAGGAGGAGGAGGCACGGUGAAGAGAGUUAAAAGCAUGAAACAGUAGUUUGGGUUCGCGGGAGAGUGUGGUUAUGAGUGUAUUGAAGUAGUUUUCUUUUGAAG